UUAAGACUAUCAGAUGGUAAAGAAUCUGCCUGCAAUGCAGGAGACCUUGGUUCAAUCCCUGGGUCAGAAA
rnacentral:tRNA from 1 species